rnacentral:rRNA from 1 species
CCUACGGGCGGCUGCAGUGGGGAAUAUUGCACAAUGGGCGCAAGCCUGAUGCAGCCAUGCCGCGUGUGUGAAGAAGGCCUUCGGGUUGUAAAGCACUUUCAGCGGGGAGGAAGGCGUUAAGGUUAAUAACCUUGGCGAUUGACGUUACCCGCAGAAGAAGCACCGGCUAACUCCGUGCCAGCAGCCGCGGUAAUACGGAGGGUGCAAGCGUUAAUCGGAAUUACUGGGCGUAAAGCGCACGCAGGCGGUCUGUCAAGUCGGAUGUGAAAUCCCCGGGCUCAACCUGGGAACUGCAUUCGAAACGGGCAGGCUAGAGUCUUGUAGAGGGGGGUAGAAUUCCAGGUGUAGCGGUGAAAUGCGUAGAGAUCUGGAGGAAUACCGGUGGCGAAGGCGGCCCCCUGGACAAAGACUGACGCUCAGGUGCGAAAGCGUGGGGAGCAAACAGGAUUAGAUACCCCAGUAGAC